UACGGGGGGGGCGAGCGUUGUUCGGAAUCACUGGGCGUAAAGGGCGCGUAGGCGGCCCGCACAAGUCUGCGGUGAAAACCCCCGGCUUAACCGGGGGCCGGCCGUGGAAACUGUCGGGCUAGAGGCCGGGAGAGGGCAGCGGAAUUCCCGGUGUAGCGGUGAAAUGCGUAGAGAUCGGGAGGAACACCGGCGGCGAAGGCGGCUGCCUGGACCGGCCCUGACGCUGAGGCGCGAAAGCUAGGGGAGCAAACAGGG
rnacentral:rRNA from 1 species